rnacentral:rRNA from 1 species
UACGUAGGGCGCGAGCGUUGUCCGGAAUCAUUGGGCGUAAAGAGCUCGUAGGCGGCCGGUUGCGUCUGCUGUGAAAUCCCGGGGCUUAACCCCGGGCGUGCAGUGGAUACGGGCUGGCUGGAGGCAGGCAGGGGAGAAUGGAAUUCCCGGUGUAGCGGUGAAAUGCGCAGAUAUCAGGAGGAACACCGGUGGCGAAGGCGGGUCUCUGGGCCGUAACUGACGCUGAGGAGCGAAAGCGUGGGGAGCGAACAGG